GACAAACGCUGGCGGCGUGCAUAAAACAUGCAAGUCGAACGGCCGCUUCGGCGGCAGUGGCAGACGGCUGAGUAACGCGUGGAAACCUGCCCGGGCGUGGGGGAUAAGCCCUCGAAAGAGGGUCUAAUACCGCAUACGGUAGCUUCGGCUAAGAAAGCUUUAAGCGCGCUCGGAGGGGUCCGCGUCCGAUUAGCUAGUUGGUGGGGUAAGGGCCUACCAAGGCGACGAUCGGUAGCUGGCUGAGAGGAUGAUCAGCCAGACUGGGACUGGGACACGGCCCAGACUCCUACGGGAGGCAGCAGUUAGGAAUUUUGGGCAAUGGCCGCAAGGCUGACCCAGCAACGCCGCGUGGGGGAUGAAGGCUCUUGGGUUGUAAACCCCUUUUCCAGGGACGAUCGUGACGGUACCUGGGGAAGAAGCCCCGGCUAACUACGUGCCAGCCGCCGCGGUAAG
rnacentral:rRNA from 1 species